ACUGCUUUUGUACGAGGGUAAACGCUCUUACGUGUAAGAGCCUGAAAGUAUCGUACGAAUAAGGAUCGGCUAACUCCGUGCCAGCAGCCGCGGUAAUACGGAGGAUCCAAGCGUUAUCCGGAUUUAUUGGGUUUAAAGGGUGCGUAGGCGGUUUGAUAAGUUAGAGGUGAAAUACCGGUGCUUAACACCGGAACUGCCUCUAAUACUGUUGAACUAGAGAGUAGUUGCGGUAGGCGGAAUGUAUGGUGUAGCGGUGAAAUGCUUAGAGAUCAUACAGAACACCGAUUGCGAAGGCAGCUUACCAAACUAUAUCUGACGUUGAGGCACGAAAGCGUGGGGAGCAAACAGGAUUAGAUACCCUGGUAGUCCACGCAGUAAACGAUGAUAACUCGCUGUCGGCGAUACACAGUCGGCGGCUAAGCGAAAGCGAUAAGUUAUCCACCUGGGGAGUACGUUCGCAAGAAUGCAACUCAAAUGAAUUGACG
rnacentral:rRNA from 1 species